AACGAACGCUGGCGGCAUGCCUAACACAUGCAAGUCGAACGAGACCUUCGGGUCUAGUGGCGCACGGGUGCGUAACGCGUGGGAACCUGCCCUUAGGUUCGGAAUAACUCCCCGAAAGGGGUGCUAAUACCGGAUAAUGUCUUCGGACCAAAGAUUUAUCGCCUUUGGAUGGGCCCGCGUUGGAUUAGCUAGUUGGUAGGGUAAAAGCCUACCAAGGCGACGAUCCAUAGCUGGUCUGAGAGGAUGAUCAGCCACACUGGGACUGAGACACGGCCCAGACUCCUACGGGAGGCAGCAGUGGGGAAUAUUGGACAAUGGGCGAAAGCCUGAUCCAGCAAUGCCGCGUGAGUGAUGAAGGCCCUAGGGUUGUAAAGCUCUUUUACCCGGGAUGAUAAUGACAGUACCGGGAGAAUAAGCUCCGGCUAACUCCGUGC
rnacentral:rRNA from 1 species